rnacentral:rRNA from 1 species
AUUGAACGCUGGCGGCAGGCCUAACACAUGCAAGUCGAGCGGAGCGGCGGACGGGUGAGUAAUGCCUAGGAAUCUGCCUCGGAGUGGGGGAUAGGGUCCGGAAAUGGGCGCUAAUACCGCAUACUCUCAGCUGAGGCUAGGGCGGGUUAGCUAGUUGGUGGGGUAAAGGCCUACCAAGGCGACGACCCGUAACUGGUCUGAGAGGAUGAUCAGGCACACUGGAACUGAGACACGGUCCAGACUCCUACGGGAGGCAGCAGUGGGGAAUAUUGGACAAUGGGCGAAAGCCUGAUCCAGCCAUGCCGCGUGUGUGAAGAAGGUCUUCGGAUUGUAAAGCACUUUAAGUUGGGAGGCGUUACCAGCAGAAUAAGCACCGGCUAACUCCGUGCCAGCAGCCGCGGUAAUUC